rnacentral:rRNA from 1 species
UACGUAGGGCGCAAGCGUUAUCCGGAAUUAUUGGGCGUAAAGGGCGCGUAGGCGGCCUGACAAGUGGAAGGUGAAAUCCCUCGGCUCAACUGAGGAACUGCCCUCCAAACUGUUUGGCUUGAGACCGGGAGAGGUGAGUGGAAUUCCCAGUGUAGCGGUGAAAUGCGUAGAUAUUGGGAGGAACACCAGUGGCGAAGGCGGCUCACUGGACCGGUACUGACGCUGAGGCGCGAAAGCGUGGGGAGCAAACGGG